rnacentral:rRNA from 1 species
AUGUCAAAUCAUCAUGCCCUAUAUGUCCUGGGCAACACACGUACUACAAUGGUUGGAACAGAGGGAAGCGAAGCUGUGAAGAAGAGCGAAACCCAAAAACCAAUCGUAGUUCAGAUUGAAGGCUGAAAUUCGCCUUCAUGAAGCCGGAAUUGCUAGUAAUUGCAGGUCAGCAUACUGCAGUGAAUACGUUCCCGGGCCUU